rnacentral:lncRNA from 1 species
UUGUUAACUAGCAUUCACCCAUUCUUCCAUUCAGCCGCCGCACACUACCCACCGCUCCCACCCUCCUAGUCGCUCCCAGCCUCCCACCAUGCCGCCGUUGCCGCUCAGGUCAGGUCCACACGCCGCCGCUGCCGCUCAUUUAGGCGUUGAUGUCUCCAAUGGUUAUGACUCAUUCUUAAUUCAAAACGCUCCUCAAUCAGGCCGUUCAGGCGCCGAUCUCCUACGCCGCCGCCGCUGCUUAGAUCAAGUCUGCACAUUUCUUUUUUCGUCGUCCUCAACCGUGCUUGAUAUAUAUUUCUUUUUUCGUCGCCCGGAGUCGACAGCGGCUUGGACCUGAGCCCUGUUGGCACCGAGGGACUCAACUGCCUCCGCACACACGUUGUUGACAAAUUUUUAUGGUUUGGAAGCUUUGGAUUUGGAUUGAAAUUUGGUGGAGUUGUUUAAUAUUUGGAUUAAACUAUUUUUCUUUAAUUUGUGUUUAGUUGUUUAAUAUUUGUGCAGUGAUGAAUUAUGUGGCUGGUGGUUCGGAUAUGGUUUGAUGAUUUGCUCGUUGUUCUUAAUAUAAGUAUAAAAUAUACAUUUGUUAGCACAAAUGUAAACUUAUGUUACUAUAAGUAUUUACCUUCAUUCAAUUUAAAAUAUUAUAUUUUCUAAGCCUUAAGCCCUAAACCCUGAAUACUAAAUCCUAAACACUAAAUCCUAAAAUCUAAUAGGAAUAUUUAGUUUUAUUAAGUAUAAAAUAUACAUUUGUUAGCACAAAUGUAUAUUUAUGUUAAUAUAAUAUUUACCUUUCAUUCAA